rnacentral:rRNA from 1 species
AUUGAACGCUGGCGGCAUGCCUUACACAUGCAAGUCGAACGGCAGCACGGGUGCUUGCACCUGGUGGCGAGUGGCGAACGGGUGAGUAAUACAUCGGAGCAUGUCCUGUAGUGGGGGAUAGCCCGGCGAAAGCCGGAUUAAUACCGCAUACGAUCUACGGAUGAAAGCGGGGGACCUUCGGGCCUCGCGCUAUAGGGUUGGCCGAUGGCUGAUUAGCUAGUUGGUGGGGUAAAGGCCUACCAAGGCGACGAUCAGUAGCUGGUCUGAGAGGACGACCAGCCACACUGGGACUGAGGCACGGCCCAGACUCCUACGGGAGGCAGCAGUGGGGAAUUUUGGACAAUGGGCGAAAGCCUGAUCCAGCAAUGCCGCGUGUGUGAAGAAGGCCUUCGGGUUGUAAAGCACUUUUGUCCGGAAAGAAAUCCUUGGCCCUAAUACGGUCGGGGGAUGACGGUACCGGAAGAAUAAGCACCGGCUAACUACGUG